GAACAAUUUCUUCCUGGUUCCUGUAGGUCAACUGUACUUUCCUCUUUUUCCCUUCAGACCUCAGAGUCCUGGCUUCUGGUGACAGAAGUAUUUCCUGUAAUGGCAAAACUAAUUGUCAGCAAUUUGAUUAAUGCCGUGAGCAGUCAGCAUUAUUCUUGACAUUGCACUGAAUACAAUAUGAAAAGAAUUGAAUUAACAUCAUUGAUCGCUUGUCCGUGUUGAAAAGAAAAUACUUGGUAUUGAAAAGCAAUUUUCAUUUAGGAUCCCUCCUGCUCUCUCUGUGUAUAGAACUUGCAUUUGGACAUAAAUAAAUGCAUAUUUGGAAUCUUGCAGUAAGACUCUUCAGAACAAACGUUACCUCAUGCAUACAGGAAAUACAUUAAUAAUGAUUUGUAAAUGACAAUAGAUUCACAGUUAUUCUACAGAAGAUAAGCAUACAUUUCUUUUCUCUGAAGAAUCAACAGCUUGCUACUUGACUUAAUAGAAUUAUAGGUCUGCUAGAAGUAAUGAAAAAUGAAGUUUAAAAUGGAUCAGCUUUGAGACACCAAAACUGCACAGCUUAUCAGAGGACAGCUGCUAAACAACGCACAAAGCCACCACUGCUGAAGUUAAAAGAUAUCACCUAGGAAAUGUUUGAAAAAAGGCAUAGUCCCUGCUGCAAGAAAAGACCAGAUAGCACAGGAGUGUGCAGGGUUGUAUGGCAUCACAGCGGACCUGCUGUAAGACAGCCAUGUGGAAUCAUGGCAGCACCUGGAUAACAGCCUUUGGAAUGUUGCCAGAAGAAGGGACUGAUAUUGCUGAAGAUUAGACUUUGGAUUCACAAAAGCAUUGACAGCAUCUUUCUCCUCAGCUAGGAGUGAACUGUCUUCAUUCCAGAGCAAGGAAAAUGCCUUCUCUUGCUCCCCUGCCCUCAUUGCAUUUUGUUAUGCAUUUUGCACCUGUGUCCAUAAACUUGCAGUCCAUUGCAAUUGGUCUUCUCAUAUCACUUCUUCACUGAGGUGCAUCUGGGGAGUGAUUGACAAAAUCACUUACUGGGGCAGCUGUUUGUAAACAAUGAGAUUAAAUGAAAGAAAAGCUCCCUGG
rnacentral:lncRNA from 7 species